rnacentral:rRNA from 1 species
GUACCUCUGGUGUACCAGUUGUUCUGCCAAGGGCAUGGCUGGGUAGUUAUGUACGGAAUGGAUAAGCGCUGAAAGCAUCUAAGCGCGAAGCCAACUUCAAGAUAAGAUUUCCCACCGCAAGGGUAAGACCCCAGAAAGACUAUCUGGUUGAUAGGUCGAAGGUGUAAGUGCAGCAAUGUAUUUAGCUUAUCGAUACUAAUAGGUCGAGGACUUGACCAA